rfam:Bat coronavirus HKT5-1, complete genome
GAUUUAAGAGAAUAGCCUAGCUAUCCCUCUCUCUCGUUCUCUUGCAGAACUUUGUUUUUAACGAACUUAAAUAAUAGCCCUGCUGGUUUGCGUGCUGCGAUACCUUUCUGCUGCGUCAUAGGCGCCGGACUGGAAAGCGCAUGUACACCACUGGGUAUAAUUAAAACUGAAUAAUAUUUUUCAGUUAGAGCAUCGUGUCUCAAGUGCUUCACGGUCACAAUAUACCGUUUCGUCGGGUGCGUGGCAAUUCGGUGCACAUCAUGUCUUUCGUGGCUGGUGUGGCUCCUCAAGGUGCGAGGG